rnacentral:lncRNA from 1 species
CGCCGGAAGUCUACGCCUCCAUCAAAUGACUCAAAUCCCUCCUUUUCCAAUUCAGCUUCUUCUUCCUUUUCUAAACAAUCCCACCCAUUCCCAGCUUAAAAGCUUAGAAAAUAAAGGAAAUAAAAACCACCUUCUUUCCUCGUCAUCGUCGCAUGUGUAGAUCCAAAAUGGCAACCGAUGCCUCCGAACCCAUCCCAACUACGCCACCCCAUCCCACCCCACGUCCGGUCAGGACCAAACCCAGAACCUCCCCUCAAGCAACACAAUCUCCCCGCCCCCCUCCCCAAAUUCUCCAUUCGCUAAACUUCCUUCCUCCGGUCCCUCCACCAGCGGCACCUUUCAUUCAGGUUCUGCCCCGGCCACCGGCUCCGGUUCUGAUUUUCGACUAAAUUCGUCGGUUGGCACAACCUCCGCUUCAAGCCGUACGUCCCUCUCCAGCCUCCAUCUCUCCCUCCCGGAACACGCCCAUAUUUAUGAUUUCUCCGAAAUCCGUUCCGCCACCAACAAUUUUCUCGCCAAACGCUACUCCACUUCCUCCUCCUCCUCCCAGUCCUGGCGCUGCGAGCUCAACGGAAAGGACGUCAUUAUUUUUCAACGGAAAAUCCAUCAGACAAUCCACGAAUCUGAGCUGAG